CGCAUCUGUGCAUGCAGCAUAUCAAUAAGCGGAGGAAAAGCUAUACCUACGCUUAGGAUGUUGACGAGACUGUCGAUCUCAUCUAUACAUGACUCUGUGCAUAUCAAUAAGCGGAGGAAAAGAAACUAACAAGGAUUCCCCUAGUAACGGCGAGUGAAGCGGGAAGAGCUCAAAUUUGAAAUCUUAAAGGGUUUCCCUUUACGAAUUGUAGUUUAAAGAAGUGUUUUCUGUUGAGGUUUUGGUAAAAGUUCUUUGGAAUAGGACAUCAUAGAGGGUGAGAAUCCCGUAUUUGACCUUUACUUUCAACUUUGUGAUACACUUUCAAAGAGUCGGAUUGUUUGGGAAUGCAGUCCAAAAUGGGUGGUAAAUUUCAUCUAAAGCUAAAUAUUGGCGGAGAGACCGAUAGCGAACAAGUACCGUGAGGGAAAGAUGAAAAGAACUUUGAAAAGAGAGUUAAACAGUACGUGAAAUUGUCAAAAGGGAAGCGUUUGACACCAGUGUUGUUUUUCUGAAAAUCAAUUAAAGAACUGUUUAUGCCAAGUUGUUUAGACUUUAUCAGCUAACUGUUUAGUUUUGAGCUUUUCUUUAAUGCACUUUUCAGUUAACAAGUCAACAUCAAUUUCUUUUGCUGUAAAAAAGCUUGAGGAAGGUGGCUUGAGAUUCGUCUUAAGUGUUUAUAGCCUCUUGCCUAUGCAGUCGGAGAGAUUGAGGUCUGCAGCGUAGAUCCUUCGGGGCUAAAUGCAUUUGUGCUAAGUUAUAGCAUUUUAUAAACAACUUGUUGACUAUGAUUUGUCUUGUAGCUUACUCGCUUAUGUUAUUUUACCUACGCUUAGGAUGUUGAACGCGCACAGAGUCUC
rnacentral:rRNA from 1 species